GCUCAUUACAUGGUCAUGUGUUCCGGAAGAACAUAUGAAAUAUCAUCCCAUGGGUGACGAUACAGCCCCUGCUUCAGCCUCUUCUGAUCCAGAUAGUGUCCUGAAAUAUGGAGCAAAGGCAUCUUUUUAUUCAGAGUUGAACUGGAAGGAAACAACAAGCAUCAAUAACUGUUAAGAAGAAAAUGGCCGCAGAGCUCACCGGGUAAAGGACCCACAGUUUCUAAGCAUGUCUACAAAUGCAACUCCGAUGAAACCGUCUACAUUCAGGAUAAGAUUUGGUUUCUGGGAAGGCAAAAAAUUAAAAGCACUUAUUAUUUCUCA